AUUGAACGCUGGCGGCAGGCCUAACACAUGCAAGUCGAGCGGAUGAAGGGAGCUUGCUCCUGGAUUCAGCGGCGGACGGGUGAGUAAUGCCUAGGAAUCUGCCUGGCAGUGGGGGAUAACGUCCGGAAACGGGCGCUAAUACCGCACACGUCCUGAGGGAGAAAGUGGGGGAUCUUCGGACCACACGCUAUCAGAUGAGCCUAGGUCGGAUUAGCUAGUUGGUGGGGUAAAGGCCUACCAAGGCGACGAUCCGUAACUGGUCUGAGAGGAUGAUCAGUCACACUGGAACUGAGACACGGUCCAGACUCCUACGGGAGGCAGCAGUGGGGAAUAUUGGACAAUGGGCGAAAGCCUGAUCCAGCCAUGCCGCGUGUGUGAAGAAGGUCUUCGGAUUGUAAAACACUUUUAGUUGGGAGGAAGGGCAGUAAGUUAAUACCUUGCUGUUUUGACGUUACCAACAGAAUAAGCACCGGCUAACUUCGUG
rnacentral:rRNA from 1 species